UAUUCUUCUGAUUUUGAAGUGGAGGAUUCUGAAGGUAUUCGACUUUAUCGUUUUGAGCCAGAGCUAGGAAGUGACGACGAUGAAGAAAGUGGCAAUCCGCAAUCGGCAGUCGAGGACCGCUUUGGCUCAACCGAAUGGUGCAAAGGUGAAAAAUUUGAGACAUGCUGACAGUCACUGAAUGUCUUUGAAAUUGCACAACUCCAACACAUCAAGGAUGAGUUUCACAGCUGAAAUGGAAUCACACAGCACCCCUGAUUUGCUUCCGUUUGCCUAGAUGUGUAUGUGUUGCUUACAGCAUAUCAAACCUUUAUACAGUACCAUAAUGGCAACAUACCAGAGUCAGCGUGAAACCGCUACAAUGCCUACCGACAACUUGUGGUGCUGGGGUUUUCUGGGGCUGUAAAUCUCAUACGACAGACUUUCCCGUCUGGUGAUGAUGAAGAAUUGAGGGGCUUCAAUUACGUAGACUGAAUGUUUAUGUAAAUUAAGAUAUUAUGAAUGUCGGACUACUUUUAAGCAAAACGUGACUGAACUGAUGACACAGCUUCCACUUUUGAAGGCCGUUCAAAGGUGCUGCAUAGUGCUGGGGGUGUAUCCACCAGACCAUCUUGUGUUCUAGUCAUUCUGGUAUUUGUUGCCACGUUGACCGUUAUUUGUAGCAGCUC